AUGACGGCAGCCGUGCGCAGGUGGUGGCUCGGAGCUACGCCUGCUCUGGUGGGUGGAGGCAGGGCAGGGGCACAGGGCGCAGCGGAAUCAAACUCACGCGGCUGGCCAUGUCGAACUUCACAAACGCCUACCAGCGCAGAGAAGGGGACGGGAGAGAGGAGGCCAUCGCGGAUGCGCCGUGCUCGGGGGAUGGAGGAGGAACAAUAG
rnacentral:rRNA from 1 species